GGCGGAGGAGGCGGCGCGGCGCUCCGCCCCGGAUCCCUCCGCCACCGCCGAGCGAGGCGGCACCGAGGCGGCUGCGAUCGCUCCGCCGAGAAAGGAGUGCGGCCGCGCCCCUCCCGCGCUGCCCCAGUGGCUACCUCUUCCGCUCGCCACUCGAGCCUGUGGUUCGAGAUGUCCUGUCUUGACACAAAGACCUGCUCAAGUUUAACCAAAAACAUGGUAUUUCCGAUGCUGCAAAUCCGCCGAUGGCCUGUGUCGGGUGCCGUGCAGAGGGGCAGGCUCCUCCCGGUCACCGCUCUGACCUUAACACACACGAGCCGUUCUGGUAAAGGCGUCUACCCAGCCGAGUAAGAAAUGUCCCCCCAGACUUUUCGCCAUAAAUCCUAUCCUGGUGGACAAAGUAGUGUUAAAACAGCGCUGCUGAUAAACGAGCCAUGUUUGAAGUCUUGUCGGUUUGUUAUGUGUUUGCAUACUAGAUAGCGUAAUGGGUUUCUGAUUCAUGGCUGGGGCCCUGAGUGCUCCUGCAAUAUAAUAAUAAACAAAACAUGUAGUUGGAUAAAGUCAGAGGUUCCCUGCUUAUUUCCUGACUUUAUCACUGCUUUACAAGUGACCUUGACAUUUUACUCUUGCCUGUGCUGUUUUCCCCUAUGCUUUUUCAUGAAUCUGAGGCUGCCUUGGUCAUAAACUAGGAAAUCUAUAGGAGGUUAUAUCAGAGGUAGCUUCCGUGUCUCAAUUGUCAAAUGUUUAAGACAUAUAUGAUAAUAUUUAGCCAUUUCUCCAUGGCUUGUUCUUCUUGUUCUUUCUAUUUCAAAACUCUGAAGUUUAAUGGUCGUGAGGUUACAAGAAGGCAGCACUUUAAUAUACUGAAAAUAAUUGUUGUGUCUAAUCAGAAAUAAGCAGAGUCAUUUAGCCAUAGGUGCAUUUCUCAGCUAUGCAAAUCCCUCUGCUCUUUCUCAAGAUGUAUGCAAUAAUCAAAGACCCAUGCUAGGAUUCGUCCCUCUCUUCAGAUUCUCGGUUUGCCUGCAGCAAACAUCACUGUCUUGACUUCUCACCUCUCUCUAAUAUGUUUCCACUCCCUACUCCUUUCAUUUUUUUAAUUACCAGCCACACCUCAGUGCCUAUCUUCCCACUCUCUGCUUUCUUUUUGAAUGAAGCUUCUUAUUAGGGACAUGCUAAUCAAAUGUAUGUGUGGUAAAGCUGGGAGGCAGAGGGAGGUGAAGACAAGAGACAAGUAUUAUGAUCAAAUAAAACAGUUCUGGGGAUGUUCCUUAAUUAAGUCUCAGGAUUAUGCAAGCUGCCGUUACAGUAUUCUUAGGAAAGGCUAUGUCUUUAUGAAUCACUAUUAAUUUUCAUUACCAGCUACUGCUAUUAAUAUCAAAGAGCAAGUAUAACAUAUUUGCAGCGCAGAGUUAACAGUUGGAUAUUUCAAGUUCUUUUCACACAGAUCGUAAUGACAAGGGAAUGUAUUGGGGCCUUUGUAAACAGUGGCUAGACUCAGUGCUCAGGCUGCAUCUCAUUUUGGGUAGUUGAAUUCUGAUCACCCAAAUUCGCUCCCACUAGAAAAAGUUUUUUGUCUCUACUUCUUGCUUUGUGAUUACAUGGAAUUGUUUUACAUCAUUAAAACAUAAUUGUUCCACUUCAGAUGCAAGUAACUAUGUUUCCCGUGAUGAUUGAAAAGACUUCUAUAAGGUGUAAAUAAGUUUAUUUCAAUAUGCUGGAUACUUUGGGAUCCUAAAAGUUAAACACAAUUCUUACAAAAUAGACCACUGAAAGCGAGAAACAAGCAUGCUCUUUUCAGCUGAUUCUUUCAUUCAAAAAAAUAACUCUCAGAAAGACAGGAUAUUGUUUUCUUGCUUCACCAGAUCAUUUUUUCUUACACAUAAAAUUAUCCAACAGUAGAAUUAACAUUACACGUAUGAAUACAACUUCUGUUUGAACUUCAGCUAGGUUCACUGAUGACUUUGCCAAAAGCACAUCUUGAAACCGUCAGGAGCUUCGCACAAAUACUGUAACAACUUAAAUGACCAGGCCAAGACUGAAACUGCACCGUUCCCUGAGUUACUGAACUGUGGAUGAUAAACACUAAAAAAUGAUACUUAAAACUCAGCCACUGGCAAGUAACAAACUGAAGGAGAUCACUCUAUCUAAACGAGGUGCCUGGAUGACAAAAGCUGCUUGAGAAAAAGCAAGUAGCUACUAUUGCAGGAUUGCUGAAGCACAUCGACAGGUAGAUGGCAGAAAGUUGCAAUGGCAAAGUUUUUAGUAAUGAUGUCACUUGAUUCAUAAUGAAGAUUAAAAAACAAUGCCUCAUGAGAAUAAAUGGAGUUUAAGUUAUAGUGAUUAUAGUACUUUACAGAACAACAUUCCCAGAAUCAGUCAGUAGAGCCAUCUCAGUUACUGCUGUAACCUGCAGCAACAUUUAGUAGUACAGAAAGUACUAUUUUGUUACAGUCCUCUUCUCUAGUACAUGAAGGUCAAAGAAAGCAUCGUUCCCAGCUAGAUUCAAAAGGGUAGGAACUGCCAUUGGAGCUGCAAAGUAAAAAACAAAAAAAAUUGCAUUUCCACCUAGGUGCAUGCAUAUUUUAAAGAUCAGACUUUAUUAGAAGGGACUAGUGGGACUGAGCCGACACUAGGCAAUUAUGUUAUUGGGAGCUGAGCCAGAUCAACAGCAAUGUUCAUAAGGGUCUGAGAGCUCUUAGGUUAGCAGCUGUACUAUGCUGUCAUAGUGUUCUUGAGAUGUCAAGAACACUUCUUUUACAGUGCAUUUUUGUGCUGCUAUUCUUAAGUCACAAGGAAAGUUUAUUUAAUAAUUGCAUCACGUUCGCAUGACUUCUGCUAGCAUUUACCGUUUAAUUAAAUACAGUCUCUUCUGUUCUUCCAGCAUGAAGAACGAUUUAUGAGUUCUUCAGCCACACCCACCAACUAACAUAAUAAUAGCAACCACUCUAAAAUCCUCCCUUUUUCAUAAAAUUGAGUAACUAAAGUUAUGCUUGUGGAGGGUGUGGAUGUUCUGCAUACCUAUGGUCUCUCCGCUGUGUGUUACUUUAACAAUUAAAAUAAGUAAUCGUGAAAGAUACGAUCUUUCUAAUUAAUGAAUGGAAAUUCUGAUGCGAUGUUUUAAUUAAUUUGUAGGAGGAGGGAAGGAAUUACCAUUUUGUCCAAUAAUUCUUCAUAGCAUGUUCUCUAUUUUGUGAAAUAUAUACUUGAAAUGCUUGUAAAUCUUGAAAACUAGUGACAAAAACAGCCAUGUUGGUGGACAACACUGCUCUCAGUUUACUGGUGCUGGUACAGAAUAAAUGGUUUAAUACAGUGAGGUUAUUUGAAAUUGACAUCAUUACAAAUUUUGUCCCCAAAUAUGGACCAAUAUCAGGAGGAAUAAUAGAUGAGAACUCUACCGCUUCGGCAUGCAACCUCUGUUUUUAAUGCAAGAAGAGCUGCUAAUGUGUUCCUUGUUUCAUUUGCUUGGGCAGACAGUUAAGGUAAGAGGGGCUGUUCGUAGGCCCUUGACUGAGUCGGUGGAGGACAAAAGUUGUGCUUAGGGGGAGGUGGACUUCCAUUUACUUGCAAACUUUGGCUGUCACCUCUGUUAUCUCUGUGUCUACACAUCUGGAGGCAGUAGAAAACUCUGAGACCUAUUAUCUGUGAUUUUCUACCACUGUGGACAGAUAUCAGCAUUGUUAUGAUCUAUUUUGAGGGAGAAUACAGAACUUGGUAUUUUGAUGGAGGCAUGGUAAUUCAGGAAAGGUGGAAAGCCUCUCCACCUUUCUUGCAAAUGUCCUGUUACCCCUAAGUCAGGCAGUUUGUAGGUUACCCCUAAAUCAGGCAGUUUGUGGGUGCCCAGUGGUGGUAAUUCAUGGAAGUCGGAGAUUGCUAUUUCCUACCCCGAUGCUAACAUGGCUAUUCUGGUGGUCCCAGUCUCAAGGUAAAGGACUCCAGAAGUCUAAUCUAAACAUCCAAUGUCUAAAGGAAAGGCUGAAAUUGUAAAGUUUGGAUAUCACAAUGGCUUAAUGUUAUGACAGCACAAAAUAAAUACUGCUUCUUUUUGAAGCUUAGUCAUGAAGAGUAUAUGUUUUUAAUUUUAGAAUGAACUGGAAGAUUUUUUACAUCCCAUUUGAUGAGAGCAAAAUAUGUGGCUUGGAUUGCAUUAAAAACAGAGAAAAUGAAGCUUAGUCCUAGAAGUAAGAGCAAGGUCUGUUUUCAGAAAAGACAAUAAAAUGAAAGCCACUCUACAGUUACCAGAAUCUUUGUGGGACUCCCGCCAGUGCAGCGUAUGUUGUAUGUCCGAUGAGCAGUCUGCCAUUCGAGGGGCGACAUGAAAUACCUGCGAAGUGGUAGUGAGAAGGAGCUGGCUGCAGCAGAAAGCAAAUGGUGGAAAUGAUUUUUAAGAGCUGGCUGGAGAGCAGCCGGAGGUUUUCACAGCUGGUUGUGCCGAGCCACCCUGACCUGCUUCCAGCGCAGCCCUGAACGCAGCACUGUUAAUUCCAGCGUAUCAGUCAAACCGUUGCCUCCCG